UCAGGGCUCGUCUGAGGGAUGUCGUCCCGGGACAUUUCACUCUCUCUGGUGUUAGCCGGGAUGAGAGAAAGCAAACUCUCCGGCUCUGCAGUUUGUGGGGAAUUCAGGGCAUUCCUGCCUUUAUUUCCCGGCCGGGCAGUGCCGGCCAGCCCUGUGCUCCUCCUCAGGGGUUUGUGGCGGUAGUUCCGGACGGGGCCUCUUGUCUAAUUUCCAGCUUCUACUUUCCAUCUGAAUCAAUAGAUGUUUCUGGGUUUUUGUUUACUUCCCCUUUCCACGUAUUUACGUAUCCAAUUCCCACUCAUUUGUUGUGUUAGAUUACAUAGGCCAAACCUUUGGAGCCCUGCAUGAUCCUACAAGCACUUCCCUGCUCAUUGGGAUGUAUGUUCUGCGGCACUUUCUCGAUUUAAAUGCUUUUUAAAUGCUUUUUCUCCUGAAAGGGGCUGCGGCAUGGAGUGUCAGACGGCGAUGCCUCAAACACAACACUAAAGUUUUCCCGAAGUUAGUGGAAAUUCCAUGACUGGACUCACACUGGUCUGUUUCAGUCACACCACGCUGUCAAUUUCCUGUCACCUGCGGUUGGUUAGUAAAGCCAAAUCCUUCUCCCAUUCACUUAUUUUUUGCUCGGACUCUCAACAAAAGGCAAAACCAAUUUUUUAGAAGUUUAUUUCCUGAAUGCCUGAAGUUUCAAUUUUAUACUAUACUAUUUUGUGGGUCAUCCUACAAAACUGGAUUUUAGUAAAUCCAUGUUACCUUUUAUCCCCGUAUUAUUCACUGACUAAGAUGUUUUUAGUUAGAUUCUCCUGUGCAAGUUUUUCUGAAGAGCUGCACAGACAUCAAAACCACAGGUCCAAAUUGCUUCCACCAUGACUUACUUCUUAGAACUUGCUGCUCUCUGUCCUGUGGUAAUGCCUUCAAGUAGGCAAAUUUACUUAAAAUCUCUUGGAUUUGUGCACAUCAGGAUUCUGGAAUUAAGAAUGCUUGGUUCCUCCAACUGGAAAACAGCAGACUCAACAUCCUGUCUUUACCUCAUGGAUUAUCAUAUUCAUCCUUACUGAAAAUCAGCAGUAGAUGCUCACAGGAGGAAAGCAGUCAUCUGGCAUGAUUGACAUUGAUUUUCUGCCUCAGAGAGCUUGAAUGGGAGAAGGCUCAGAGCUGCACAAACAGAACGGGGAGUUAGAAGCAGAGCCUUUCCACUGGCCUCAGGUGGCAUUUGAUCAGGAUCUGAGUGAUAACAGAUGGAAACAAAUGCCACAUUCUUAUUAUACAAUGUGUUUGCCUUCAAACUACGAGAUAUCAUUAGACUAUUGUCACAAAAAUAAAGUCCAGAGACAGUUAUAAAGGUCCUGGCUUGUGACAGACUGAGCCAAAUCUGAUGGUGCUGCAGGGGUGAACAGGGACACCAAACCAUGACCUGCAGGUUUGCUGAGUGACCUACAGCUCAGCUGGGAGGUUAUCAGUAACCUAAAGUUACUGAUAGUCAUGACCAGCCCUGGAAAGUUGUCUGGUUUGAUUGCAAACUACUUUCUAGCUGACAUCUUUCAAUACCCAGAACCUCCAAGUUGCUCCAGUUCUUCUUUUCCCCUUAAGAGAAUUCCAAGUUACAUUGCUGGAAAGUUGGCAUCCUAUGGGGAAGAAUUUGCUGGGCUAUACCAACCACUGCAGAAAGCUGAGAGCACUUCUCAACAUUACAGACACACAGACUUGGUGGAGGAACCUAUAUAAUAAAUGAUAAUCUCUUCCUUGGAGGAGGAAGAUGAAGUUUAACUUGCAGUUCAACAGAGACAGCAGUAGAAUGGAGAUAAGCAACCAGACCUCAACUCUUCUGUUCUUCUCAGAGGGGAAAAAUAACUUCACUGUUUCUGCACAAGGCAAGGUGAGGAGCUGUGCCCAAGGGAGUGGCAAGCCAUGGAGAAAGGCUGUUCCAUCCCUGCAGCACCCAGGAUCCUUGUCCAAGACUGAGGUCCCUAAAGAAACAUUCCACUGCCUGCUGCAAAACAGCACAAACCAGUUUGGGAGCUUUGCCUGGGGGGUGAGGGAGGCAGAAGGACCAUGAUAGUGCAAUUUCCUGAGCUCUGCAGCACUGCAGGGCAAAAGGAAACAUUCUGGUUUUGGUGACAUAAUGUCAUGGUACAGAGACGACUCCCCUGUCCUGUGCCACACUGUUGUGAAGCAUUUUGCAGUUAUUUGCUUCAUGUGGGUUUUGCAGAACAGGGUGGUUGGUGCUUACCAGAUUGAUACCUGCUGCCUGCCUCUGGCCCAGCAAUCUUUGUCCUGCCAAGUCACACCUGGUUGAUGCCAGCCUUGCUCGGUGUCCUUCCUGCCACUGUUUCCCUUCCUGAUCAGCUCAUGACAGGAGCGGAGGGGACCCGUGCCCAGGCUCGGGGAUUGUCACCUGGGGACCGCAUGGCUUUACAGCUCAGCAUUUAUUUCCUUAACAUGCUAUCCCCUGACAGUCCCAGGGGAGCCCUAAAAACUGACAUCAGAGACUUGGACUGGUGAGUUUUCUUUCCCA